CAAUUAGGUCCAAAAUUGAUACAAAGUAUAAAAAUGUAGUGUAAAUGUGGAUUCUAUAUAUGAAAACUACAUCAAACCAUGAUUGUGUGAAUGAGAAUAGUAUAGUAAAAUCAUGGUUAUCAGUGUCCUAACUGUGAUCGUGAGGUGAGUCCAGCAGAGAGGCUACUUUGUUGUUGGGUUUUCUUGGAUCCGGCAGUCACUCUUUUCAGCACCAGCAUGACUGUGAAAUUGAGGUUUCCAGCAGCAGCUAUUCCUUCCGGCAGCACUAUCUCUAGUUGUGGAUCAACAUCUGUACUGUGAGAAUUUAGGACUUUGACGCGAGACGAGUAUCUCGACGUCGGAUUUGGACUGAUUGGACUUAUCC